AAGUCGUAACAAGGUUUCCGUAGGUGAACCUGCGGAAGGAUCAUUACCUUUCAAUGCAGCAGAAUUGGGAUGGUUGAGUAUCUCGCCUCUCCGUUCUGCCUGUAUUCUACCCUUGUUUGUCAUAUACUAUUAUUUCCUCGGCAGGCUUGCCUGCCGAGUGAAACCAUUUAUAACCUUUUUAAUUUUCAAUCAGCGUCUGAAAAAAAUAAAUAAUUACAACUUUCAACAACGGAUCUCUUGGUUCUG
rnacentral:misc_RNA from 1 species